AAUAGUACAUUUUGUUACGAGUGAUGAAAAGUUGAAUUUUUCGCUUUCAUCACGAGUCACAAACGACGAUUUUUGUGCUUGAAAACUGAAAUGAGACGAAACCACAACACUAUUGACAUAGAAAUCACUCUACAGCCAUUUCAACA